rnacentral:tRNA from 14 species
GGGUAGCUCAGAGGAAGAGCGUUGGGCUCAUAACCCAAAGGUCCCAGGAUCGUAACCUG